UACGUAGGGGGGCAAGCGUUGUCCGGAAUCAUUGGGCGUAAAGCGCGUGUAGGCGGUUCAGUAAGUCUGCUGUGAAAGUCCAGGGCUCAACCCUGGGAUGCCGGUGGAUACUGCUGGGCUAGAGUACGGAAGAGGCGAGUGGAAUUCCCGGUGUAGCGGUGAAAUGCGCAGAUAUCGGGAAGAACACCCGUGGCGAAGGCGGCACUCUGGGACGGUACUGACGCUGAGACGCGAAAGCGUGGGGAGCAAACAGGG
rnacentral:rRNA from 1 species